CCGAGUUAUCAAAACUCCCAACCCAUGUGAACUUACCUCUUGUUGCCUCGGCGGUUAGCCCCGGCGCCCGACGGGCCCGGACCCCGGCGCCGCCGCAGGACCCCGAAACUCUGUCUCAGUGGAAGCAUCGUCUGAGUGAGAUUUAUCAAAUCAAUCA
rnacentral:misc_RNA from 1 species